rnacentral:rRNA from 1 species
GACGAACGCUGGCGGCGUGCUUAACACAUGCCAGUCGAACGAAGUGGCGAACGGGUGAGUAACGCGUAAUCAACCUGCCCUUCAGAGGGGGACAACAGUUGGAAACGACUGCUAAUACCGCAUACUGAAGGAGGGGAUUGCGGCUGAUUAGCUAGUUGGAGGGGUAACGGCCCACCAAGGCGAUGAUCAGUAGCCGGGCUGGGAGGAGGAACGGCCACAUGGGGACUGGGACACGGCCCAGAACCCUACGGGAGGGAGCAGUGGGGAAUCUUCCGCAAUGGACGAAAGUCUGACGGAGCAACGCCGCGUGAGUGAUGACGGCCUUCGGGUUGUAAAGCUCUGUUAAUCGGGACGCGGUACCGGAAUAGAAAGCCACGGCUAACUACGUGCCAGCCGCCGCGGUAAUUC